UAUUAUAAAAAGCAUGACGAAUGAGUGUCAGAAACUGCGCCCAGAUAUUGAAUUUUUGGCUCACCAGAUUAUCUUGUCAAUUGAGGCAUUAAAAUAUACAUGCCGAAAUGAAAGAACUUUGGAUGUCCUUAAUAAAUUCCCAGCACUUUACUAUGAAAAAGUUCUUUUUGCAGCAGCAAGAGUUAUAACAAAUAUAGUUAUUGACAAUAACUGCUUGUUAUUAUUGGGUAGAAUAAAGGAGGGAAUGAAGAAGUUAAUAGAUUUAAAAAAACCUUUGUCAGCUAGAUGACAAACAUUAUGCAAUGGGGUACUUGAUGAGAUUAGUGAUGCAACAAUAAAAAACCUUCAUUGUUUAAUUCUUCCAAGCAUUUUUUGUGACGAAGAAGCACUUUUGUUCACC
rnacentral:lncRNA from 1 species